UGGCGGACGGGUGAGAAACACGUGGGUAACCUGCCCAUCAGAAGGGGAUAACACUUGGAAACAGGUGCUAAUACCGUAUAACAAUCGAAACCGCAUGGUUUUGAUUUGAAAGGCGCUUUCGGGUGUCGCUGAUGGAUGGACCCGCGGUGCAUUAGCUAGUUGGUGAGGUAACGGCUCACCAAGGCGACGAUGCAUAGCCGACCUGAGAGGGUGAUCGGCCACAUUGGGACUGAGACACGGCCCAAACUCCUACGGGAGGCAGCAGUAGGGAAUCUUCGGCAAUGGACGAAAGUCUGACCGAGCAACGCCGCGUGAGUGAAGAAGGUUUUCGGAUCGUAAAACUCUGUUGUUAGAGAAGAACAAGGAUGAGAGUAACUGUUCAUCCCUUGACGGUAUCUAACCAGAAAGCCACGGCUAAGUACGUGCCAGCAGCCGCGGUAAU
rnacentral:rRNA from 1 species